rnacentral:rRNA from 1 species
GACGAACGCUGGCGGCGUGCUUAACACAUGCAAGUCGAACGGAAAGGCCCUGCUUUUGUGGGGUGCUCGAGUGGCGAACGGGUGAGUAACACGUGAGUAACCUGCCCUUGACUUUGGGAUAACUUCAGGAAACUGGGGCUAAUACCGGAUAGGAGCUCCUGCUGCAUGGUGGGGGUUGGAAAGUUUCGGCGGUUGGGGAUGGACUCGCGGCUUAUCAGCUUGUUGGUGGGGUAGUGGCUUACCAAGGCUUUGACGGGUAGCCGGCCUGAGAGGGUGACCGGCCACAUUGGGACUGAGAUACGGCGCAGACUCGUACGGGAGGCAGCAGUGGGGAAUAGUGCACAAUGGGCGGGAGCCUGAUGCAGCAACGCCGCGUGCGGGAUGACGGCCUUCGGGUUGUAAACCGCUUUCGCCUGUGACGAAGCGUGAGUGACGGUAAUGGGUAAAGAAGCACCGGCUAACUACGUG